CCCACCCGUGUGGCAGGCCGUGUGACAAAACAUGGCUUUGAGAUCCACGAGAAGGCCAUGAGCGAUUUCGUGGGCUGAAACAGUAUUGGGCCAUUUUGGGCCGAACUGGGUCAUGUGGGCCCAAUGGGGUUGUGGACCCCACACAGGAAAAUCACACAAAAGUGUGGUAAAUGUUGGGCCAGGCUAUGUAAACCACACGGCUAAGGCCAUUGUUGGGCUAUGUGGGCCAUACGAGAGUGUGGACCCGUAAUAAGGGCCAUGGGCCCAUUAUCACCGAUUGACUGUUAAGGUUGCACGAGUCGCCCAAGACGACUGUGGACCUACUGUUGGGC
rnacentral:lncRNA from 1 species